UUAGUUUCCCUCAGACGCCAUUGAGCCUGUGGAAAUGGCUGCCUUGCUGAGGGAAGAGGAGAAAAGAGCCAUGGAUCGUGAGUGAGGUGGCACUCGACAACCUCAUGAAGUCUCUUGUAGACGAAAGUGAAGCAUAGACAAGCAAGGCGGGAAUACCAUCGUUCAAAUUCCAAUAUAUGUGGAAUUCCAGCGACUUAAUAAAAUGGCAUUCCUCAGA